CUUCUUAAUACCCCAGGCUACAUUGGCCAUCACGUGCCACAUCUUUCUGUUGUUUUAAGCCAUUUUCUCAUCUCACCUAUUACAAGGGCAAAGGUUUGCUUUGUUCAAUUUUGUCUUCUUUGGUGCAGCUGGCCUCAGAACAUGGCUAAUCAAUAAACGCAAAUUCUGAGUCACCAUGUGGAACCUCCCAAGUUUUGGUCCUUGGGAAUCUAUUAGGGCCCUCGGCUCAAACCAACCACAGACUACCAUGUGCAAAUCUCAUCAGCUCUGUGUUGGCCAUAGAGGAAACCAUUUAUGCUUCCACAGAGUGAGACCAAAGGUAAAGGAUGUAAUGUGCUGGAUGUCUUGAAAUUUAAAACAAAAUAUGCCCUCCCCCAGAAGGAGUCUUAUUUGUGUGCAGUGGAGCAUCUCAAGCCAAUGGGACAAAGCGAAUCAGUAACAUGUGCACAGGUGCCAUUUCUGGAUCCUGGCUUUGUGCUGCAAUUGCUGCAAAUCUGUUGUGUGGAUCAGUUCUGA
rnacentral:lncRNA from 1 species